CAUGCACUGGUGGGGUCCCUUGGCCUGGCCUGUGGAUUGGGCCAAAACCAUCUCUCCAACAUCCACCAAGGGGUCCCGGAUUGCAAGAGGGCGUAGGCCAGGCCGAGGGACCCCACCAGUGCAUG
rnacentral:pre_miRNA from 1 species